AUUGAACGCUGGCGGCAUGCCUAACACAUGCAAGUCGAACGGUAACAGGCCUUCGGGCGCUGACGAGUGGCGGACGGGUGAGUAAUACGUAGGAAUCUGCCUUUUAGUGGGGGAUAAACUCGGAGAAAUCCGGGCUAAUACCGCAUACGCACUACGGUGGAAAGCAGGGGAUCGCAAGACCUUGCGCUAAAUAGAUGAGCCUACGUCGGAUUAGCUUGUUGGUAGGGUAAUGGCCACCAAGGCG
rnacentral:rRNA from 1 species